UGCAGUCGACGGUGAAGCAGAGCUUGCUCUGUGGAUCAGUGGCGAACGGGUGAGUAACACGUGAGCAAUCUGCCCCUGACUCUGGGAUAAGCGCUGGAAACGGCGUCUAAUACCGGAUACGAGCUGCGACCGCAUGGUCAGUAGCUGGAAAGAAUUUCGGUCAGGGAUGAGCUCGCGGCCUAUCAGCUUGUUGGUGAGGUAAUGGCUCACCAAGGCGUCGACGGGUAGCCGGCCUGAGAGGGUGACCGGCCACACUGGGACUGAGACACGGCCCAGACUCCUACGGGAGGCAGCAGUGGGGAAUAUUGCACAAUGGGCGCAAGCCUGAUGCAGCAACGCCGCGUGAGGGAUGACGGCCUUCGGGUUGUAAACCUCUUUUAGCAGGGAAGAAGCGAAAGUGACGGUACCUGCAGAAAAAGCGCCGGCUAACUACGUGCCAGCAGCCGCGGUAAUACGUAGGGCGCAAGCGUUAUCCGGAAUUAUUGGGCGUAAAGAGCUCGUAGGCGGUCUGUCGCGUCUGCUGUGAAAACCCGAGGCUCAACCUCGGGCCUGCAGUGGGUACGGGCAGACUAGAGUGCGGUAGGGGGAGAUUGGAAUUCCUGGUGUAGCGGUGGAAUGCGCAGAUAUCAGGAGGAACACCGAUGGCGAAGGCAGAUCUCUGGGCCGUAACUGACGCUGAGGAGCGAAAGGGUGGGGAGCAAACAGGCUUAGAUACCCUGGUAGUCCACCCCGUAAACGUUGGGAACUAGUUGUGGGGUCCAUUCCACGGAUUCCGUGACGCAGCUAACGCAUUAAGUUCCCCGCCUGGGGAGUACGGCCGCAAGGCUAAAACUCAAAGGAAUUGACGGGGACCCGCACAAGCGGCGGAGCAUGCGGAUUAAUUCGAUGCAACGCGAAGAACCUUACCAAGGCUUGACAUAUAGAGGAAACGUCUGGAAACAGUCUCCCCGCAAGGUCUCUAUACAGGUGGUGCAUGGUUGUCGUCAGCUCGUGUCGUGAGAUGUUGGGUUAAGUCCCGCAACGAGCGCAACCCUCGUUCUAUGUUGCCAGCACGUAAUGGUGGGAACUCAUGGGAUACUGCCGGGGUCAACUCGGAGGAAGGUGGGGAUGACGUCAAAUCAUCAUGCCCCUUAUGUCUUGGGCUUCACGCAUGCUACAAUGGCCGGUACAAAGGGCUGCAAUACCGUGAGGUGGAGCGAAUCCCAAAAAGCCGGUCCCAGUUCGGAUUGAGGUCUGCAACUCGACCUCAUGAAGUCGGAGUCGCUAGUAAUCGCAGAUCAGCAACGCUGCGGUGAAUACGUUCCCGGGUCUUGUACACACCGCCCGUCAAGUCAUGAAAGUCGGUAACACCUGAAGCCGGUGGCCCAACCCUUGUGGAGGGAGCCGUCGAA
rnacentral:rRNA from 1 species